AUGUCUCCGCCGUCCUCCUCCGACGAGGCCGCGAUCUCCUACGUCUCGUCCGAGGAAGACGACAUCAGCCUGCCGCCGUCGCCUUCCCCGUCCCCCGAGCCCUCUCCCGAACCUUACGCGUCCUCCUCGGAGGACGCGCCUCCCGCAGCCAAGAAGCCGCGGCGACCCCGGAGCGGCACCGCGGGGCGGGCGCGAAGCUGGCCGACCGCGGACGAGGUGGUCCUCCUGGAGGCCGUCGUCGCGCACCGGGAGCGGCACGGCCGGCCCCCCUCCCGCGACGACCUCGCCGCCGCCCUCGCCGGCCGCCUCCGGUACAGCGGCGAGCAGGCCGCCGAGCGCGUGUCCACCCUGCGCAGCCGCUACUACGCCUCCGUCCGGCGGCUCUCCCGCGGCACCGUCCCCGUCACGGACGACGACAUGAGGGUCUACAGACUCUCCAAGCGCCUCUGGGAGGGCACGGUGGCGGAGAGGGCGCAUCGCGCCGCCGACAAGGCCGCGAGGCGCCACCACGAGCGGAGGGGCUCCGCGGAGCUCGAGGCGCUCUACCCCUGCCUCGCCGCGGAGGUGGAGGCGAUCGCGUCGCGGCGGCCGUGCGGCGGGGUGCUCAAGACGGCGUUCGGGAUGAUCGGCGACGAGAGGGCGGCGGCGCUGGAGGCCAGGGUCAGGAAGCAGCGGCGCGCGGAGGUGAAGGCCGGGAUGAAGCGGGCCGAGCUGAGGGGCCAGGUGGCCAGGACGCUACUCGAGUUCAUCAAAUGA
rnacentral:rRNA from 1 species